rnacentral:tRNA from 1 species
UAAGAUGUGGUGUAAUAACUAGCGCAGAGAAUUUUGAGUUCUCAGGAGUAGGUUCAAUUCCUAUAGUUCUAG